rnacentral:rRNA from 1 species
CCUACGGGUGGCAGCAGUGAGGAAUAUUGGUCAAUGGACGAGAGUCUGAAGCAGCGAAGUAGCGUGAAGGAUGACUGCCCUAUGGGUUGUAAACUUCUUUUGUAAGGGAGUAAAACGAGGCACGUGUGCCUUUUUGCAUGUACUUUAUGAAUAAGGAUCGGCUAACUCCGUGCCAGCAGCCGCGGUAAUACGGAGGAUCCGAGCGUUAUCCGGAUUUAUUGGGUUUAAAGGGAGCGUAGAUGGGUGGUCAAGUCAGUUGUGAAAGUUUGCGGCUCAACCGUGAAAUUGCAAUUGAUACUGGCAGUCUUGAGUGCAGGAGAGGUAAGCGGAAUUCGUGGUGUAGCGGUGAAAUGCUUAGAUAUCACGAAGAACCCCAAUUGCGAAGGCAGCUUACUAAACUGUGACUGACAUUGAUGCUCGAAAGUGUGGGUAUCAAACAGGAUUAGAUACCCGUGUAGUC